ACGAAAAAUCAGUGAUUUGACGAAACACCCCGCCCCCUGUUCUGUCGGUGGGUUUCGUUUCAAAAUAAUAUCUGUUGAAACAAUCGUUCCCGACCCAAUACCGCGACAGAGAGAGGAGAGCAGAGGAGAGAAGCCAAAACCGUCUCAGGUCUCGUUCUUCUUCUUCCUCCAACCUUCAUUCCCGACGGUCGGCGACAGAGAGAGGAGAUCAGCGAGGAGAGAAGCCAGAACCCAUAUCUGAACUUCCGAAAAACCCAUCUCAGGCAAGAAGUGAUCUUGUUCUUCUUCUUCCUCCAACCUUCGUUCCCGACGGUCGGCGACAGAGAGAGGAGAUCAGCGAAAGAGUUGAACCAGAACCCACUUCCCUCCUUCCGAAAAACCCAUCUCAGAUGGAGCUAGCUGGAAAAUUCUUCAAAAAUGGAAGGUCAUUUGACAUGGAGGGUAGGAGGGCCAUACUUUACUUGAGAUAUCUUUAGAGAUCAGUCUUUUAGUGAUAGUGAACUUUCCCCCUAUAAAGCACAUUGUUUUCAUCAAAAUUUAGAAUAUGACUUAACAAGAAUAUUUAUCUGAAUAUUACAGUAAUUACAAUAAUCUUGUGACAGUAUGUUCUAUGAAUUUAUGAAAAUUUGAUACUAAUAAAAAAGAAAAAGGAGAAAAAAGAAGAAGAGCAUAUAUAGGGGAGAAGGAGAUUUGCAAUGCAUUUCAUUAUAAAACAUGUAUAACUUCUUUUUCCUUGAGCACCCUAUAUGCCUAUAUUGUAUUUCCUUGUUCACCUAAAUACUGUUCAAGUUAUUGAUUUAUGUGGUAAGAAAACUGUAGUGCAGAUAGCAUUCGAUAUA